CAUGUUAUACAAAGGAUAGCGCGUUGGACUUCUAAUCCAAAAGUCGUGGCUUCGAAUCCCACCUAGUAUGU